rnacentral:misc_RNA from 1 species
AUUGACACCAACAACAAACAUAGGAGCAUCCUUACUAGGGGCAGAAAUGAUAACUUUCUUGGCGCCACCCUUCAAAUGAGCUGCAGCUUUGUCCUUAUCAGUGAAAACACCGGUCGACUCCACAAUGUAAUCAGCUCCAGUCUGUGCCCAUGGAAUUUCCUCUGGGUUCCUAAACCCAAAAACAGUAACAGCCUUCUCACCAAAGAGAAGAGUCUUCUCA